ACUCCUACGGGAGGCAGCAGUGGGGAAUUUUGGACAAUGGGCGAAAGCCUGAUCCAGCAAUGCCGCGUGAGUGAAGAAGGCCUUCGGGUUGUAAAGCUCUUUUGUCAGGGAAGAAACGGUGAAAGCUAAUAUCUUUUGCUAAUGACGGUACCUGAAGAAUAAGCACCGGCUAACUACGUGCCAGCAGCCGCGGUAAUACGUAGGGUGCAAGCGUUAAUCGGAAUUACUGGGCGUAAAGCGUGCGCAGGCGGUUUUGUAAGUCUGAUGUGAAAUCCCCGGGCUCAACCUGGGAAUUGCAUUGGAGACUGCAAGGCUAGAAUCUGGCAGAGGGGGGUAGAAUUCCACGUGUAGCAGUGAAAUGCGUAGAUAUGUGGAGGAACACCGAUGGCGAAGGCAGCCCCCUGGGUCAAGAUUGACGCUCAUGCACGAAAGCGUGGGGAGCAAACAGGAUUAGAAACCCCGGUAGUCCCAUGAU
rnacentral:rRNA from 1 species